rnacentral:rRNA from 1 species
UACGGGGGGGGCAAGCGUUGUUCGGAAUUACUGGGCGUAAAGGGUUCGUAGGUGGCCAACUAAGUCAGACGUGAAAUCCCUCAGCUUAACUGGGGAACUGCGUCUGAUACUGGUUGGCUUGAGUGCAGGAGAGGAACGCGGAAUUCCACGUGUAGCGGUGAAAUGCGUAGAGAUGUGGAGGAACACCGAUGGCGAAGGCAGCCUCCUGGGCCAAUACUGACGCUCAUGCACGAAAGCGUGGGGAGCAAACAGG